AUUGAACGCUGGCGGCAUGCUUUACAUAUGCAAGUCGAACGGCAGCGCGGGCUUCGGCCUGGCGGCGAGUGGCGAACGGGUGAGUAGUACAUCGGAACGUGCCCAGUAGUGGGGGAUAGCUCGGCGAAAGCCGGAUUAAUACCGCAUACGACCUGAGGGUGAAAGCGGGGGAUCUUCGGACCUCGCGCUAUUGGAGCGGCCGAUGGCAGAUUAGCUAGUUGGUGGGGUAAAGGCCUACCAAGGCGACGAUCUGUAGCUGGUCUGAGAGGACGACCAGCCACACUGGGACUGAGACACGGCCCAGACUCCUACGGGAGGCAGCAGUGGGGAAUUUUGGACAAUGGGCGAAAGCCUGAUCCAGCAAUGCCGCGUGUGUGAUGAAGGCCUUCGGGUUGUAAAGCACUUUUGGCGGGAACGAAAAGGACUGUGCCAAUACCACGGUUCGAUGACGGUACCCGCAGAAUAAGCACCGGCUAACUACGUG
rnacentral:rRNA from 1 species